rnacentral:rRNA from 1 species
GACGAACGCUGGCGGCGUGCUUAACACAUGCAAGUCGAACGGAAAGGCCCUGCUUUUGUGGGGUGCUCGAGUGGCGAACGGGUGAGUAACACGUGAGUAACCUGCCCUUGACUUUGGGAUAACUUCAGGAAACUGGGGCUAAUACCGGAUAGGAGCUCCUGCUGCUUGGUGGGGGUUGGAAAGUUUCGGCGGUUGGGGAUGGACUCGCGGCUUAUCAGCUUGUUGGUGGGGUAGUGGCUUACCAAGGCUUUGACGGGUAGCCGGGCUGAGAGGGUGACCGGCCACAUUGGGACUGAGAUACGGCCCAGACUCCUACGGGAGGCAGCAGUGGGGAAUAGUGCACAAUGGGCGGAAGCCUGAUGCAGCAACGCCGCGUGCGGGAUGACGGCCUUCGGGUUGUAAACCGAUUUCGCCUGUGACGAAGCGUGAGUGACGGUAAUGGGUAAAGAAGCACCGGCUAACUACGUG